rnacentral:rRNA from 1 species
GUGGGGAAUAUUGGACAAUGGGCGAAAGCCUGAUCCAGCCAUGCCGCGUGUGUGAAGAAGGUCUUCGGAUUGUAAAGCACUUUAAGUUGGGAGGAAGGGCAGUAAGUUAAUACCUUGCUGUUUUGACGUUACCGACAGAAUAAGCACCGGCUAACUUCGUGCCAGCAGCCGCGGUAAUACGAAGGGUGCAAGCGUUAAUCGGAAUUACUGGGCGUAACGCGCGCGUAGGUGGUUUUGUAAGUUGGAGGUGAAAUCCCCGGGCUCAACCUAGGAACUGCCUCCAAAACUGCAUGACUAGAGUACGGUAGAGGGUAGUGGAAUUUCCUGUGUAGCGGUGAAAUGCGUAGAUAUAGGAAGGAACACCAGUGGCGAAGGCGACUACCUGGACUGAUACUGACACUGAGGUGCGAAAGCGUGGGGAGCAAACAGGAUUAGAUACCCUAGUAGUCC